GAGGAGGAGGAGGGAGGUGAAACCUAGUGGAGGAGGAGGAGGAGGAGGGAGGUGAAACCUAGUGGAGGAGGAGGAGGGAGGUGUGUGUACACAGACUUGAGGAGACCCGACCAGACAUUUCUGGUCAACCCUCGUCCAUAGGAGGGGUUGUGCUGGAGUUGUAAUGCACCCAGAAUACAUCCAGAAUACAUCCACACCCAGAAUACAUCCAGAAUACAUCUACACCCAGAAUACAUCUACACCCAGAAUACAUCCAGAAUACAUCUACACCCAGAAUACAUCCAGAAUACAUCUACACCCAGAAUACAUCCAGAAUACAUCUACACCCAGAAUACAUCCACACCCAGAAUACAUCCACACAACCCUACUGAGUUCUAGUGUUUUCCCCUCCUCUCUUCUUCCCUCACUUGUGUUGUCUCCUGCUGUCCCAUGAUUCAUAUGUUAAAUAAUAGAUGUUCUCUUCAUGGAUCUCUGCCUGCUCUCCUUCUCUCCAUCUCUCCUCACUCUGCCUGCUUUCUCUCCUCACUCUGCCUGCUCUCUCUCCCUUCUCCCCCUCUUCCACUUUACAUCUAUCCAUCUCCCUCACUUUGCCUGCUCUCUCCCUCCCAUCUCGCUCUCUCCCUCCCAUCUCGCUCUCUCCCUCCCAUCUCCCUCACUUUGCCUGCUCUCUCCCACCCAUCUCACUCUCUCCCUCCCAUCACCCUCACUUUGCCUGCUCUCUCCCUCCCAUCACCCUCACUUUGCAUUCUCUCACACUCCCUUCCUCUUUACCUCCCAUCUCCUUCCCUCCUUGUUCUUUACUUCCCAUCUCCCUCCCUCCUUCUCCCUUCCCUACCCUCCCCUCUUCUCUCUCCCUUUUCUCUUCUCCCCAGAGUCAUCCAGUCUGCUUGCCAGUUUUCCUCUCCUUCCUUUCUCGCUCUCCUCCUUUCCUUCCUUUCUCGCUCUCCUCCUCUGCUCUCUGCACCAGUUUCCAGUGAACGUCACCCUAUUCCUAACACAGGCUCUGGUCUAAAGUAGUGCACUAUGUAGGGAAUAGGGUGCCAGGGCCCAUAGAGCUCUGGUCUAAAGUAGUGCACUAUGUAGGGAAUAGGGUGCCAGGACCCAUAGAGCUCUGGUCUAAAGUAGUGCACUAUGUAGGGAAUAGUGUACCAUUUAGGACGUAGUCCCAGACUCACCCAAUGAAGCCUGGUUGUCAGGCUGAGUGGUGUUCUCUUCUCACUGCAGGGCGGCCAUUUUGUUUUCCUACACAGACAGUCAGCGACGUGAGCGUGGAGCCCCAGAGUUCCUCCUAUUCAGGGAAAUCUCCUGGCCCUCAAAGCUAUUUUUCUCCCUCAUUGUUCUGUGUUUUACUGAACUGUCCCUCUGGUCUCAGCGAGAGUAGUAUCUCUCUGAGUAUCAACCGAUAGAAGGACAGGCUCUUCUAUGUAUGGACGGACGGCCUCUUCUCAUUUGGGAAAAAGUCUGUCCUCUCUCCGUCUUCUCUUCUGCGUGAUCCGGAAACCGAUAAGUGGUCGAGUGGUGCCAAUUAGUUAGACGAACGGAAGAGGCUCCUCGCCUCCUCGAUAGCCAAUUAGUUGGUAGACGAACGGAAGAGGCUCCUCCCCUCCUCGAUAGCCACCUUUCAUGGAGGAUGGUCAUGUGGAUCCUACCUGAGUCCUUCACGGAAAUACUCUUGAAAUGUUUUUUUAAUUUAUUUUUUUAAUCACGUUACACAUUUAUUGGGGAUUCCACCCUGUAAACAUAAUUUGCCUGAUGAUGCGUAAGUGGAGAGGAGUCUUAAUUCUAUACAGGUAGCAUUUUCACCCACGUUCCCCUCUCACCCACGUUCCCUUCACACCCACGUUCCCUUCUCGCCGCCUCUCCUCGAUUACCUUUGACCUUGUUCCAAAAGGAGGCGAUAGAGAACGGAGGGAGAGAGGGACGCCGGAGUUGAGCAAAUGUAAUGGAGAAAAGGACUUUGUUUUAUGUAGUUUGUAUGCAACAAUUGCAUCCAUCGCCUCAAAAGUCCAGUAUUGUAUGAAUGAAGAAAAUAGGACUUUAACUCUCGUCUGCUUUUUAUAAAGAAGCUUCUCCCCCGACAGCCUUUUUCCAGGCCUCCCUCUGUGAGGUUUUCCUGGUUAGGUCACAUGGUCAGGUCAUGAGGUCAGGGAAAACCUCUCGGUCUGGUAAUAUGAAAAGGUUGUCAUGCUGUUCUUUGGCCAGGACAGAAGCAUAGGAUGUAUUCCAAAUGGCACCCUAGUCACUAUGGUCCCUGGUCAAAAGUAGUGCCCUAUCUAGGGAAUAGGGUGCCAGUAGAGUCCUAAUAGUGAUCUGGUUGGUUGUAGACUGUAAAGGAGGAACGAGGUGUUUUGGUUCUUGGGCAGCACGUCAUAAUUAUGGACCCCACUACCUUCGACAUGUAGAGAAGACGAGCUUUCAACAAAACCUUUUUGUCGUUCAUUUUAAAACGUUUUGACAUUGUAAUGUGUUUUAUUACGACACCAGCCUUUGAUGUUGUCCUUUUAUAAUAGUCGGACAUCAGGAAGGCCUCAAAUUACACCCUAUUCUUCAAAAUAGUGCAGUACUUUUUAAAAUAAGUGCCCUAAUAAUGGGGGAAUAGGGUGUAAUUUGGAAACAGAGAUAUCAUAUUUUUUUCCAUCUCAAAUGAUUUCUCUAGAUAGGAUUAAUGUUGUUGUUAUUAUGAUGGACUGUUUAAAAAAAAAAAAAGUUGGCAAAGAAUGAUGGGAGAUGGAGUUUUGUGAUCAUGUCAAGAGAAGGGCCCCGUUUGGGGGGUGUCCCUGAUGUUGCCUGAGUAGAGGUUGUAAAAUGUGUGUCCCAAAUGGCACCCUAUUCCUUAUAUAGAGCACUGCUUUUGAACAGAGCAGUGCUCUUGAUAGGAAAUAGGCGGCCAUUUUGGACUAAGGGAAGAGAAAUGAUGGUGAACACAAAAUGUAAACACUAUGUGUGUGUCCUAAAAAAAGCACUUUUAUUACCUAUGUAGUGCAUAUGCCAUUGGGCCCUGGUCAAAAGUAGUGCACUACAUAGGGGAUAGGGUGCGAUUUGGGAUGCAUACCUAUUUUCCUUUGGUUGUAGCUGCUGCUGGGUAAUUUAAACAAGGAGUGUGUGUGAUCGAGCGAGCGCAAGAGUGUGUUCUUAAUUAUUAUUUUUUAAAUAAGCCGAAACAUGUUUUUAAAUUAUUGAUUGUACAGUUUUAGGCUAGGGUAUGAAAAGCAGAGACUUUUUUUCACAAUAAAAACUGUUCUUAACGUU